UCGCUGACGAGCGGCGGACGGGUGAGUAAUACUUAGGAAUCUACCUAGUAGUGGGGGAUAGCUCGGGGAAACUCGAAUUAAUACCGCAUACGACCUACGGGAGAAAGGGGGCAACUUGUUGCUCUCGCUAUUAGAUGAGCCUAAGUCGGAUUAGCUAGAUGGUGGGGUAAAGGCCUACCAUGGCGACGAUCUGUAGCUGGUCUGAGAGGAUGAUCAGCCACACCGGGACUGAGACACGGCCCGGACUCCUACGGGAGGCAGCAGUGGGGAAUAUUGGACAAUGGGGGCAACCCUGAUCCAGCCAUGCCGCGUGUGUGAAGAAGGCCUUUUGGUUGUAAAGCACUUUAAGCAGUGAAGAAGACUCCAUGGUUAAUACCCAUGGACGAUGACAUUAGCUGCAGAAUAAGCACCGGCUAACUCUGUGCCAGCAGCCGCGGUAAUACAGAGGGUGCAAGCGUUAAUCGGAAUUACUGGGCGUAAAGCGAGCGUAGGUGGCUUGAUAAGUCAGAUGUGAAAGCCCCGGGCUUAACCUGGGAACGGCAUCUGAUACUGUUAGGCUAGAGUAGGUGAGAGGAAGGUAGAAUUCCAGGUGUAGCGGUGAAAUGCGUAGAGAUCUGGAGGAAUACCGAUGGCGAAGGCAGCCUUCUGGCAUCAUACUGACACUGAGGUUCGAAAGCGUGGGUAGCAAACAGGAUUAGAUACCCUGGUAGUCCACGCCGUAAACGAUGUCUACUAGUCGUUGGGUCCCUUGAG
rnacentral:rRNA from 1 species